UAAUUGAAGAGUUUGAUCAUGGCUCAGAUUGAACGCUGGCGGCAGGCCUAACACAUGCAAGUCGAGCGGCAGCACAGAGGAACUUGUUCCUUGGGUGGCGAGCGGCGGACGGGUGAGUAAUGCCUGGGAAAUUGCCCGGUAGAGGGGGAUAACCAUUGGAAACGAUGGCUAAUACCGCAUAACCUCGCAAGAGCAAAGCAGGGGACCUUCGGGCCUUGCGCUACCGGAUAUGCCCAGGUGGGAUUAGCUAGUUGGUGAGGUAAGGGCUCACCAAGGCGACGAUCCC
rnacentral:rRNA from 1 species